UACGUAGGGGGCAAGCGUUGUCCGGAUUUAUUGGGCGUAAAGAGCUUGUAGGCGGUUUUUCGCGUCUGCUGUGAAAUUUCGGGGCUCAACCCCGAACUUGCAGUGGGUACGGGCAGACUAGAGUGUGGUAGGGGAGACUGGAAUUCCUGGUGUAGCGGUGAAAUGCGCAGAUAUCAGGAGGAACACCGAUGGCGAAGGCAGGUCUCUGGGCCACUACUGACGCUGAGAAGCGAAAGCAUGGGGAGCGAACAGG
rnacentral:rRNA from 1 species